CCUACGGGUGGCAGCAGUGAGGAAUAUUGGUCAAUGGACGAGAGUCUGAAACAGCCAAGUAGCGUGAAGGAUGACUGCCCUAUGGGUUGUAAACUUCUUUUAUAAAGGAAUAAAAUGAGGCACGUGUGGGAUUUUGUAUGUACCAUAUGAAUAAGGAUCGGCUAACUCCGUGCCAGCAGCCGCGGUAAUACGGAGGAUCCGAGCGUUAUCCGGAUUUAUUGGGUUUAAAGGGAGCGUAGGUGGGUUGUUAAGUCAGUUGUGAAAGUUUGCGGCUCAACCGUAAAAUUGCAUUUGAUACUGGCAGCCUUGAGUACCGUUGCGGUCGGCGGCAUUCGUGGUGUAGCGGU
rnacentral:rRNA from 1 species